GUCAAAAUCCGUGCCGGAAUUGCGCGUUCGUCUUCGAUCGCGUAUACUUUUUGCGUUGACGUAACACAGUGUGUUCUGCGGCGACCAACCGCAAACCCUGAUAAAAACCUCGCUCCGGCGGGGUUUUUU
rnacentral:sRNA from 1 species